CCUACGGGUGGCUGCAGUGGGGAAUAUUGGACAAUGGGGGCAACCCUGAUCCAGCCAUGCCGCGUGUGUGAAGAAGGCCCUCGGGUUGUAAAGCACUUUCAGUGAGGAAGAACGCCUGGUGGUUAAUACCCAUCAGGAAAGACAUCACUCACAGAAGAAGCACCGGCUAACUCCGUGCCAGCAGCCGCGGUAAUACGGAGGGUGCGAGCGUUAAUCGGAAUUACUGGGCGUAAAGCGCGCGUAGGUGGCUUGAUAAGCCGGUUGUGAAAGCCCCGGGCUCAACCUGGGAACGGCAUCCGGAACUGUCAAGCUAUAGUGCAGGAGAGGAAGGUAGAAUUCCCGGUGUAGCGGUGAAAUGCGUAGAGAUCGGGAGGAAUACCAGUGGCGAAGGCGGCCUUCUGGUCUGACACUGACACUGAGGUGCGAAAGCGUGGGUAGCAAACAGGAUUAGAUACCCCUGUAGUC
rnacentral:rRNA from 1 species